rnacentral:rRNA from 1 species
AGUGGCGGACGGGUGAGUAACACGUAAGAAUUUGCCUUUAGGAGGGGGACAACAACUGGAAACGGUUGCUAAUACCCCAUAUGCUUUCGAGUGAAACGGAAUUUUCCGCCUAGAGAGAAGCUUGCGGCUGAUUAGCUUGUUGGUAAGGUAAUGGCUUACCAAGGCGACGAUCAGUAUCUGGUUUGAGAGGACGAUCAGACACACUGGAACUGAGACACGGUCCAGACUCCUACGGGAGGCAGCAGUGGGGAAUUUUCCGCAAUGGGCGAAAGCCUGACGGAGCAAUACCGCGUGAGGGAUGACGGCCUAUGGGUUGUAAACCUCUUUUUUCAGGGAGGAAUAAAAUGACGGUACCUGAAGAAUAAGCAUCGGCUAACUCCGUGCCAGCAGCCGCGGUAAGACGGAGGAUGCAAGUGUUAUCCGGAAUCACUGGGCGUAAAGCGUCUGUAGGUGGUUUAAUAAGUCAACUGUUAAAUCUUGAGGCUCAACCUCAAAAUCGCAGUCGAAACUAUUAGACUAGAGUAUAGUAGGGGUAAAGGGAAUUUCCAGUGGAGCGGUGAAAUGCGUAGAGAUUGGAAAGAACACCGAUGGCGAAGGCACUUUACUGGGCUAUUACUAACACUCAGAGACGAAGCUAGGUAGCAAAUGGAAUUAGAUACCCCAGUAGUCUAGGCGGU